GGCGCUAUAGUGUAGUGGUCAUCACUCGGGAUUUUGAUGUGUGUCUUCCCGUAACCCAGGUUCGAACCCUGGUAGCGCCA